UACGUAGGGUGCAAGCGUUGUCCGGAAUUAUUGGGCGUAAAGAGCUCGUAGGCGGUUUGUCGCGUCGAAUGUGAAAACCCGGGGCUCAACCCCGGGCCUGCAUUCGAUACGGGCAGACUAGAGUUCGGUAGGGGAGUCUGGAAUUCCUGGUGUAGCGGUGAAAUGCGCAGAUAUCAGGAGGAACACCGGUGGCGAAGGCGGGUCUCUGGGCCGAUACUGACGCUGGAGGAGCGAAAGCGUGGGGAGCGAACAGG
rnacentral:rRNA from 1 species